CACUCCGGUAGCCUAGUGAUAUAGCGUCUGCCUUGGAUGCGAUAGGUCGCGGGUUCGAACCCCAGCCGAGUCA